CCUGGGGCAUGAUGGUUAACGAGCUGAGAAAGGCCUGCUCUUAUUUUGCACUCAGCACAUUAUAGAAAAGCACAGCUAUAUGACAGUAUUUAUUGCCCUCUCAUAUCGUUGCCUCUACACAGCUGCGUUUGCUGCCUCUCACACACUCUUUCUCUUCAGCUGGACACAUUCCUGUCAUUCAGAGAGAGACAAACAAGAGAUGUGACCCCCACCUCUUCCUCACACUCACUACAUCUCUCCGUAUCCUUUUGCAGCUGCAGGCCCUCUCUUGUUAAUGAAAUUACCCAGCACUCCGUGAUGCUUCUAAGUUGAGGUAAUGGCACAGUUAUGUCAACAAAUUGGCGUGGACAAAUGCGAAAACUUUGCACGGGGAUGCCGGAGUGAACUUUGAAGAGAGGGUCAGAGGUUAUGGAGAAUAGAGUAUCUUAUUGAUGUUAAGUGUAAUUAUGUUUAGUUUGGCUAAAGACCGGAAGAGGUCACCGGCAAUGGAGAGGUAAUGAUACCAUGGUUCUUACUUUGAGAAUGCUUUAUAAAAAUUCCAAAAUUCCAAUUCAUUUCCUGAAGGAUUCAUCUGGCUGUAUCGUUCCACGGGCAGUAUAUAGAUACUCACACAGGCAUUUCCCCUGAAAUCUUCACCCCAUGACAGUUCUCUUUCCUCCAGUCAUUAUCAUAAAUGCUCCAUGUUCAUCACAGACUGACUUCACGACAGGCACAGAAAAUCUUCUCUUCUCCCCAAGGACCAAUUAAGACCAUACCUGCCUGAGGCCUCAGCACUCCCUCCACACCUCCAGACCUGACCUUUCACCCCUGACACACGACCCCUGUGCUGAAUGAGAGCACACAGGAGCAUCAGAGCGAGACCCCCUCCCCACUCCACAGCCCCUGGCUUAGCAUUUCUGACAGGAAAUGCCCAAGCAGACCACCAGCUUAAGAGACUGGACGCCGGCACCAGGGGUCCGAAAGGGUCACAGUGGACGCUGACCUUGGCCCCAGAAGCCUCGCUGGCCAGUGGAGGGUCCCGAGAGGGCACUGGAGCAGAGCGUUGCAGCAUCCACUCCUCUAAUCAGCUCAACAGCUAGACUGAGACCUCCUGCGCUUUGUCCAGUGGUCCGACAAAAGCCGCUAGCUGAAUGAACCAAGACUCAAAGGUCAGACUGGUCGCAGAGGAUGUCAGCUUUGAAAUGCAAUCCACAAUGCGCUUCCAGCCUUCAUCCUCUGCUUUCUUUUCACAGAGAUGUAAAAAAGGCAGUCUGUGUUAACUGUAUAGCUUUACUUUGUUUAUACACAGAUGUGCAGAUUAGAUCCUGAUAGGGACUGUUCUCUGUUUUCUUUUGCUAGUUUAAUCCAGCAACACAGGAUUAAGUAUGUGUCGACUUUAAAUAAUACUUUUCUUAUUUCAACUCUUUCUAAUAUUAUUUCAAGUUUUAAUAUUAAAGUUCUUGUUGUGUAUGCAUAAUACUAUGUUCAUGUGUUAAGGGGAAGCAUUCAGUUGGCUGGCAUGCCGGUCAGGUGAAGGAGAGCCAUAUCCAUUGGGACUUUAGCUGUUGACACAGCGCUCAAUUAAGGCCAAUAAAUGUCUGGGUCGAGUGUGUUAACCA
ensembl:lncRNA